GGACCGGAAGUCCGGCGUGAAUAUUACCGUGUCCGUUUAGCAACAACAGCAGGACGACCUGGCGAGGCUGCGUAACAUUAUCUUACGUGCGGUCACCAUCUUUAAAGCAGAUUUAGCCGGGACGGGACUUACAAUAACCUACAAUCGCGCGAGGGUGGUGGACUUUACAAUGCCGUUUCUCAAUCUUGGCAUCUCCACCAUCUACAAGAAGGCGGAAAAGAAGCCGCCGGCUCUGUAAUCCUUCCUGUCGCCCCUCUCUAUUGAAGUCUGGAUCUACAUGAUCGCCGACUACCUCUGUGUCAGCUUUAUGCUCUUUGUUAUAGCAAGAUUCACGCCUUACGAAUGGAAGAAUCCACAUCCGUGCAACGAAGACUCGGAGGUGGUGGAGAACCAAUUUACGAUCCUCAACAGCCUGUGGUUCACUAUCGGCUCUCUCAUGCAGCAAGUACGGUAGAAUGUUGCAACCUAGUCAUACAGCCGCCUUUUGCUAUGUGCGACACCAUGUGACGUAAUGCCAAAAGCAAUCUCGACCCGGAUGGUGGCCUGCCUGUGGUGGUUCGUUGUCCUCAUCUUUAUAUCUUCCUAUACCGCCAAUCUCACCGCGUUUCUAACCGUGUCCCGGAUGGACGCCCCCAUCAAAAACGCCGAAGAUCUGUCAAAGCAAAGUUCAAUUAAAUAUGUGACGUUCAAAUCGGGACCUACAAGAAAUUUCUUUAAGGUAUUGCGUUAAAAAGUACAAAAUAUAACCCGUUCAUCCCUCCCCAACACGGUGUGUAUCAUCUACGCUCAAGCAGGUGUGUAUAACCUACAUGUGCAACAUGCGACGGAAGUUUAUGCUGAAAGUAAAGAAUCCUUGGCCCGUAAUCACCGACCAAAAUCCUAGAAUUUAGUCUAAUAGUAAAGAAUAUUCUUAAAACUGUAAUGAUCGUACAGUCUUGCCAUAUUUAAUAUCACGUGGAAUGUAACACUUUAUUUACUCAAUUUUUUGUUUUGAACAAUUAAUUUAUGACAAAAGCAAAAUUAUUAGCUUGUCUACAUUCAACCACUGAACAUAUUUUCUUGGAUCAAAGUAUAUUCUUUAUUUUAAUUCGGUUAAUACGGGCCCAGGACAUAACAACAAACAAGGUAGGUGGCAGUUUGUUAUCUUUCAUGAAUGCAUCACACUCCAGAAUCAAUCCACGCAGAAAAAAUAAACUUAAAAAGUACUUCUUAACAGUCAUUAUUAAAAUAAAUGCUUUGUAAAACCAUUUUCAAAAUUUUGAAAUAUAAUACAUGCACAUGUAUUUGUCGACCACAUAAUACAACUAAUUCUGCAAUUCUGACAUAUUCUGGAGUUGUGUCAAUGUACCAACUUUAGGACUUCUAAAGACGCCUAAAGAAUGUAAGACAAAAAGUAAAGUGCAAGUGUAUAUUGAUUCCCGUAUCUAUGCUUUUUAGACUAUUUUGGUAAGGUGCCUGUAGAUCUGAUGCAGCAUGCGCAUUUUAAAUAGAGUCACGAUAGAAAACUCCGAUUAUAGUAAUAUUUCGUCCCUAUUUAUCACAGAAAUCAUCAGAGCUCCAACACUGAUAAUUUAUUUUAGUUAACGAGGCUUACGUUUUUGUGUGUUUUUUUUAUCUUGUCUUUAAAAUCACUUUUUGUUUGAAUUGUCAAGUGUUAAACUUAACGUCAAGUUUUCACAAGUCAUAUAUAAUAUGGGUACUAGUAUAGUACUUUGGCCAUAGUCACACCUAACGUUCGUAUAACAACAACUAACGUUCGAUAUAGGCAAAAUGUAUUGUAAUAUAGAGCAGAAUGCAGAAAAAACGUAGUGAGAACACAGUGUACCUUUUAAACUACAACCCCAUGUGCAUCGUCGUUUAUGGCUAGAUGACUAACUGAGAUAAGGUCUCAUAACGGACACCAGAACAUCUGCACUAUUGCUAAGUAACAAUUUAUAAUUGCUUACAACACUAUAUAACUAUUUGCAUACUAGACGUCUGCUUAGAAGUUUGGAAGAUUAAGAGCGUUCUUAUAAGACGUCGAUACUGCUUGACACUUAAGAUGUCAAGUGUUUGUCGAGCUUUUUUCAAAUGAUACUCUGUGUUGUGAUUCAAAUGAUAAAAGUAACGCUUCGAAAUUUCUGUAAAAAAUACACAUCAGUAGCUACUCAAUAAUUGACCGUGUGCUGUUAACGUGAAUUGAAAUGUUUGUGUUUUCGAAUCUUUUAUGAUACAACAUAAUUAUAUUGUUUGAACACAGCACAAUUAUUAAUUAUUUGAAAAGUUUUCAUAUCUUGAAAGAAAGUAGUAAACAGUCAAAAAACAGUUGACAGAGCCAUAUUAUUUCAUAUCUUUUAUACCUUCCAAACAAGAAAUCAUAUGAACAUCGUUCUGGGAAUAAUGGGCUUAAUGUAUGCGCUUAAAAUGUCGUCCCAGUUUAGCCUGUAAAGUCCGCAUCUUUUUAUCAGUGACGACACUUUCCGACAUUAUCAGAAGUAUCACUCAUUGUUUCUCCCACAUGACUCCAAUCUGACGGUGUUCAAACGUAUGAAUGCGUACAUGGAGGCAAACGCGGACUCUAUUCUGGUUGGCAACAACACAGACGGGUUCGAGCGGGUCGUGAAGAGCAACUACGCGUUACUGGCUGAGUCCACGUCGAUCGAUUACCAGAUACAGCGCAACUGCAAUCUCAUGCAAAUCGGGUCCGAUUUGGACACUAAGGGAUACGGCAUCGCAGCGCCGAAAGGAAACUAGAAUACCUAGAAUACUGGUUCGCCUUGGAUUGGCAUCAUCUCCCGCGAGGUUGUGCGUCUUCAGCAGCAACAGGUCAUCCAGGGCAUCUACAAGAAGUGGUGGGCGACCAGGCGGGAAAAAAGUGCAAGACCGACGACGACGAAGACGCC